AGCACCCGGGGCGAGUUCCGUGCGCUGCCUCCCCGCCUCCCGCCCGGAGCUUCCCAGGCCCCGGAAUCCCGGAGGGGCGCGCGAUGGCAGGCUCUGGCAGAGGCCCGUGCGCUCGGGCACGCGGCUCCCCCUCGCCCCCGCGCGCGGCGGGGACUGUCACCCUUCGUUUGGGGAAGCGAGACGGAAGCGCAAGGAAAGGCAACAGUUCCUGGUCCAACAUGGGGUUACCUGAGCUGAGCUCUUUGCUCAGGAGACCCUUGUCUGGUUGAAGACUGCAGCAUCCCCAGCUUGGAGAGGCCCCAGGGCACGUGUGGAGGCCGGAUGACUGCUCGUAUGGGUGGGUCCUCUCCUCCUUAUAUACUGUGUGAACCCUCGGGGUCAAACUCAGGUUAUCAUGCUUGCCAACUCUACUUUCCCCAUGGAGCCUUCUUGCCAGAACCCUCUAAGUUUGUGAAGCUGAGUCUCAUUCUGUAGCCUAGGAAUGUCUCAAAUUUGUAAUCCUCCAGCCUCAGGCUUAUGAAUACAGUUUUUUUAAAGGGGGUUCAUGCCACCAGCCACAGCUCAGAUCUUAGUUUCUAUUUGAAUCAAGGGCAUGGCUCAAAUCUCAUUGCUGGAGACAGCUGCCUAAACUAUAGGUCCCAACAAAUCCUGUAAUUGUAACCAUUUGGGGGAAAGUUAAAUUGUAAUCUUUAUAAGUAUGUGUUUUGUUUUUUAAUGUUUUAAAAUAAGGCCUCGGGCUGGAGAGAUGGCUCAGUGGUUAAGAGCACUGGCUGCUCUUCCUCUGCGUUCAAUUCCCAGC